rnacentral:rRNA from 1 species
CGGAGCCGAAGCGAAAGCGAGUCUUAAUAGGGCGAAAGUAACAAGGAUUAGACCCGAAACCACAGUGAUCUAUGCAUGGCCAGGUUGAAGCUCAGGUAAAAAUGAGUGGAGGACCGAACCCGUGAGUGUUGAAAAACUUUGGGAUGAGCUGUGCAUAGGGGUGAAAUGCCAAUCGAACGUGGAGAUAGCUGGUUCUCCCCGAAAUAGCUUUAGGGCUAGCCUCAGGCGACACAUGAAGACGGUAGAGCACUGAUCGGACGCGGGUCUGUAAUGGAUACCAACUCCAGUCAAACUUCGAAUGGCUUCAUGAGAAGAACCUGGGAGUCAGAAUGCGAGUGAUAAGACCCGUAUUCAAGAGGGAAACAGCCCAGAACGCCGACUAAGGUCCCAAAUGCUGUACUAAGUGGAAAAGGAUGUAGGACUUCCUAAACAACCAGGAUGUUGGCUCAGAAGCAGCCACCAUUUAAAGAGUGCGUAAUAGCUCACUGGUCGAGAGGCCCUGCGCCGAAAAUAUCCGGGGCUCAAGUACAGAACCGAAGUCGCGUCAUGCGCAAGCAUGGGUAGGGGAGCGUUCCAUAGGCGUUGAAGGUUGACCGGAAGGACAGCUGGAGCGUAUGGAAGUGAGAAUGCCGGUAUGAGUAGCGAAACGGUCAGUGAGAAUCUGACCCACCGAAAGCCUAAGGUUUCCUGAGCAACGCUCGUCGUCUCAGGGUAAGUCGGGACCUAAGCCGAGGCAGCAAGCAUAGGCGAUGGACAACUGGCGAAAAUUCCAGUACUGCAUGUUGUUGUUUGAGGAUGGAGUGACGCAGCAAGGAGUCUGAGCUGGCGAUUGGAAAUGCCAGUCGAAGGCGGUAGGCUGGUGUGGAGGCAAAUCCCCACACUGUAAGGCUGAGAACUGAUAGAUAGAUAAAUCCUUCGGGAUGCAUCAAAUUCAGACGUACUACACUGCCAAGAAAAGCUUCUAACGAGACAACAUGUACCCGUACCAAAACCGACACAGGUAGGCGGGGAGAGAAUCCUAAGGUGCGCGGGAAAACCCUCGUUAAGGAACUCGGCAAAAUGCAUCCGUAACUUCGGGAGAAGGAUGGCCGGAGCUGGUGAAGAGA